rnacentral:tRNA from 1 species
UCCCUGGUGGUCUAGUGAUUAAGACUCCACACUCUCAAUGCAGGGGGCACAGGUUCAAUCCCUCGUCAGGGAA